GUACACUCCUACGGGAGGCAGCAGUGGGGAAUUUUGGACAAUGGGGGCAACCCUGAUCCAGCAAUGCCGCGUGAGUGAAGAAGGCCUUCGGGUUGUAAAGCUCUUUUGUCAGGGAAGAAACGGUGGUGGCGAAUAACUACUACUAAUGACGGUACCUGAAGAAUAAGCACCGGCUAACUACGUGCCAGCAGCCGCGGUAAUACGUAGGGUGCAAGCGUUAAUCGGAAUUACUGGGCGUAAAGCGUGCGCAGGCGGUUGUGUAAGUCAGAUGUGAAAUCCCCGGGCUCAACCUGGGAAUUGCAUUUGAGACUGCACGGCUAGAGUGUGUCAGAGGGGGGUAGAAUUCCACGUGUAGCAGUGAAAUGCGUAGAUAUGUGGAGGAAUACCGAUGGCGAAGGCAGCCCCCUGGGAUAACACUGACGCUCAUGCACGAAAGCGUGGGGAGCAAACAGGAUUAGAAACCCUAGUAGUCCCAUG
rnacentral:rRNA from 1 species